rnacentral:rRNA from 1 species
AAUGGUCGGAAGACUGACCCAGCCAUGCCGCGUGGAGGAAGAAGGCGCUCUGCGUUGUAAACUUCUUUUCUAUGGGGAUAAAAGGGUGCUAUAUGCACAACUGAAGGUACCAUGGGAAUAAGCACCGGCUAACUCCGUGCCAGCAGCCGCGGUAAUACGGAGGGUGCAAGCGUUGUCCGGAUUUAUUGGGUUUAAAGGGUGCGUAGGCGGGUUAUUAAGUCAGAGGUGAAAGUUUGCCGCUCAACGGUAAAAUUGCCUUUGAUACUGGUAAUCUUGAGAUGCCAUGAGGUAGCUGGAAUGCGUAGUGUAGCGGUGAAAUGCUUAGAUAUUACGUAGAACGCCAAUUGCGAAGGCAGGUUACUGGAGGUUAUCUGACGCUGAGGCACGAAAGUGUGGGGAUCAAA